UACAGGGGGUGCAAACGUUGCUCGGAAUCAUUGGGCGUAAAGCGCACGUAGGCGGUUCGUUAUGUCGGAUGUGAAAGCCCUUGGCUUAACCGAGGAAGUGCAUCCGAAACUGGCGAGCUAGAGUACUAAAGAGGAUCGCGGAAUUCCCGGUGUAGAGGUGAAAUUCGUAGAUAUCGGGAGGAACACCGGCGGCGAAGGCGGCGAUCUGGGUAGAUACUGACGCUGAGGUGCGAAAGCGUGGGGAGCAAACAGG
rnacentral:rRNA from 1 species